AGACCCACCAUCCCCCAAGGUGAGCUGAAUCGGCUUGACUUUGACAAAAAUGGAGGAAACCCACCACCCCUAGACAGAGAGCAGGAAAGCCAUCCCCCAGCGUGAGAGUUGGGGGAGUGGGUCUCGACGAGGCUUGUGCAGUGUUCCAAAGAGCAAGAUAAGACCCACCAUCCCCCAAGGUGAGCUGAAUCGGCUUGACUUUGACAAAAAUGAAGGAAACCCACCACCCCUAGACAGAGAGCAGGAAAGCCAUCCCCCAGCGUGAGAGUUGGAGGAGUGGGCCUCGACGAGUCUUGUGCACUGUUCCAAAGAGCAAGAUAAGACCCACCAUCCCCCAAGUGACUAUUGGUUGUACAGUGCCUCUCUUGAGAGUGAGGGGAAUCGGCUUGACUCUCUAAAAAAGGACAGACCCACCAUCCUCCAAGUGAGUGUUGGAACGACCAGUGACUCUUUGCCUAUUCUCUCUUUCUAACCCCCCCUUUCUUACAGGGUGAGCUGAAUCGGCUUGACUUUGACAAAAAUGGAGGAAACCCACCACCCCUAGACAGAGAGCAGGAAAGCCAUCCCCCAGCGUGAGAGUUGGAGGACUGGGCCUUGACGAGGCUUGUGCAGUGUUCCAAAGAGCAAGAUAAAACCCAGACCAGCGAAGUGUUGGAUGACCAGUGGCUCGCUUUCUCUUGAGAGUGAGGUGAAUCGGCUUGACUCUACAAAAAGAGGACAGACCCACCACCACCCCCAGUCAGAGAGCGAGAAAGACCCACCGUCUUCCAAGUGAGUGUUGGAUGACCAGUGGCUCGCUUUCUCUUGAGAGUGAGGGGAAUCGGCUUGACUCUACAAAAAGAGGACAGACCCACCACCACCCCCAGUCAGAGAGCAAGAAAGACCUACCGUCACCCCCAGGUGAGCGUUGACUCAUAUACUCUUUCUCUAUUAACAAAUGGUUGCCAAUCUUGGUCUACUCCAGUCUGUGGUGUGUGUGUGUGUGUGUGGGGUGGGGGGGUUAAUUUACUUUAUUUUUAUUUUUGAGUGGUAAGGCGAAUGUGGUUUUAGCCAGUGUGGGUGAGCCUCCGUUGGUGCCCUCCCGUGGGUGUCGGGGUGGAGUCGGUACCUAAAGGCCCCUUGCACCUCAGGCCGACAAAACUUGGAUCGAGGGCUGACUUUCAAUGGAUCGCAGCGAUGGAGCUGCUCUGCCACGCACGAAACCCUGACCCAGAAUCAGGUCGUCUACGAGUCAUU